GGGGUUGUAGCUCAGCGGUAGAGCGCUCGCCUAGCAUGUGUGAGGCCCUGGGUUUGAUCCUUAGCACCA
rnacentral:tRNA from 1 species